GACACCUGCAGAUGGCCAGAAGCAGAGGGAGGGUGAAGAGCCCACGCCGGUGGAAAACAACGUUUUGUUUGCUGGCACAGCUUCACCAAAGGCUAAAGGCAAGUCUGAUGGCCAGGAGCAGGGGGGCAAGCUGCAAAAGCCCACGCCAGUGGAAAACAAGGUUUUGUUUGCUGGCACUGGCACAGCUUCACCAAAGGCUAAAGGCAAGUCUGAUGGCCAGGAGCAGGGGGGCAAGCAGCAAAGCCCACGCCGGUGGAAAACAAGGUUUUGCUUGCUGCAAAAGCUGCUCCAAAGGCCAAGGCCAGGUUUGUUGUUGAUUCAGGCUGUACCCGCCAUGUCUCAAAAGACCGCCACC
rnacentral:lncRNA from 1 species